rnacentral:rRNA from 1 species
UACGUAGGGUGCGAGCGUUAAUCGGAAUUACUGGGCGUAAAGCGUACGCAGGCUGUUCGUUAAGUCGGGUGUGAAAUCCCGGGGCUCAACCCCGGAACUGCGCCCGAAACUGGCGGACUUGAGUGCGGGAGAGGGAAGCGGAAUUCCUGGUGUAGAGGUGAAAUUCGUAGAUAUCAGGGGGAACACCGGUGGCGAAAGCGGCUUCCUGGCCCGACACUGACGCUCAUGUACGAAAGCGUGGGGAGCAAACAGG